UACGGGGGGGGCAAGCGUUGUUCGGAAUUACUGGGCGUAAAGGGUUCGUAGGUGGCCAACUAAGUCAGACGUGAAAUCCCUCAGCUUAACUGGGGAACUGCGUCUGAUACUGGAUGGCUUGAGUGCAGGAGAGGAACGCGGAAUUCCAGGUGUAGCGGUGAAAUGCGUAGAUAUCUGGAGGAACACCGGUGGCGAAGGCGGCGUUCUGGACUGCAACUGACACUGAGGAACGAAAGCCAGGGGAGCAAACGGG
rnacentral:rRNA from 1 species